ensembl:lncRNA
CUGUAACGGGGGUGGCUGUGGAGGAGAGCAAGUCCUAGGCCGCCUCAGAGGCGUGCGUGUGAGCCCCGUUUUGAAGCCUAGUUCUGUCCAUUUCUAGCUGAAUGAUGAUGGCCCUGAGCCUGUCUCCCCUGUGAGGAUGACAGAGCUCUGUGGACAUGAAAGUCUAAAUCCCAAUGUCUGAAGUCUUUGUGGGCCUGAUCGUAUGGUGCGCUGUUUCGGCCGCUCUCGCUCGUGGUGAUGUGUUCCCCUUACGCGCCGAGGUUUUGACUAUGAGCCUCCACAGUGGGGAAUCCUGCGAUAAUUCUACACGGCCUGGGGCAGAGAGCCUCAGAGCAGCCUCAGCAUCACCUGGGAACUCGUCAGAGAUGCAGAAUUUCAGGCUCCACCGAGAGCCACAGAAUCUGAAUCAGCAUGUUUACAAGACCCCACGUGACUUCACCAGGAGCCUUCUCUCUGGAAACCCUCAGCUACCAGCCACUCAUGCCUUAGUGUAUUUAAAGAAACUUCGUAGGAGUCAGAGACACGACUAGACUCUUCUCUGGCCGGGAGUGCACCUGUCUGGUUACUGGUGCAGUUUUCAUCCGUGUGUAGAAGAUUCCCAUGGGUGUCCACAGCACAACAAAGACAAAGGACUUUGUCCCUCUAUAUUCAAGGGUCUAUUUCCCUGGGAAAGUGAGUGAACAAAGGAAGCAGUCCAGAGCCCAGUUUUAGGAACCAUAAAAUUAAAUAAGACUACUUUAAAUUCCAUGUAAUCAAAUGUCCAUUGUCCUGCUUGAGCCUGGUCUUGUGUGAACUCCAUCAUGUACUCAACAUCCCUGACCCUUUCAAUAUGGCUGCCCCUUAUUGAGCGCUCGCGCUGAGCCAGACGCUGGGCUCAGUGCUUGAUGGGCGUCAUCUUGUUUAAUCCCCACGACAUCCCUGUGCAGAGAUGAGAUGAGUGCGGCUCAGGGAUGCCUGUGCAGAGGUGAGAUGAUGAGACUUCGGUCACUCCCCUGUCCACAGUCACAGGGCUGGUAAAUGGUAGAGUUCGGAUUAGAACCCAGGGCUUUGACACAAAGCCCAUUCUCUUUCUGCUCCUCUGUGUGCAGCACCCAGCUAAGUGCCUGGAACAAAGCAGGCCCUCAAGAAAUGUUUUAAAAUGAAUGAAUGUUUCCAUGUACAGACUACUGUUUAUUGAAUGCCUCCCUUGUUAGUUCAAAUCCUAGCAACAAUCCGGAAAGGGGCUGAUGAUUCCUAUCUGUUUUAAAGAUAAGCACCCUAAGCUUCAGAGAAGUUAAGUAAAUUUCCCAAAGUCAUGGAGUCAAGGAGUCGUUGAGCUGCGAUUUGAAUUCAAGCCUUUCUUUCUGAUGCCUAAAGCCGUGCACUGUUGUCAGUCCCAUCCACCCCUCUAAAAUGGGGAAUUUAAUCUUGGGAAGGGAUGUCUCAGGAUUGACAUGUUACCAGUGGUGUUGGAGAGGGACGUAACUGUCCCUGUGCCUCCAGGGGACAGACCCUGGAGCAGUGAGUGAGAAUUAAAUGGAGGCAGAUGGUGGCUGGAGAUAUGGAACAACUUUUAGCAAGUGUCUGACAAAGUGAGGGAGUGAGCACCCCGUCACUAGGGGUGUUGGAUGGCUGUCUCUGAGAGGGCCCAAAGGUUGACGGAGGGUGACUUCCAAGUUCCCUUUGGCUCUGAGAGUCCCGCGGCGCUGUCAUUUUCUCGGUCAGCCCUGGAAACCCCUGGAGAGGAUGACUCAGAGCCAUCCCCUCUGAGCGGGGUAGUUCAGAAGAACACAAUGCUGCUUAUUCUAGCUUCUGGGAGGUAUUUGGAAAAGUCUUGGUUGACAAGGAAGUCAUUGGGGAAUUGACAACUCUCGGAUCAGCUUCUUUCUUCCUUUGCUGGCCGCACCCAGUCACCUUUCAUGGGGGCCCGGUUCUUUUGACACACACCAAGUAGAGAAUGUGACCUAGCAGGUUCCGAUCUUGGGACUCAGCUGGGAAAAAAUGGAAAUCUCAAAUAAAUGGAACCCAUUAUGAUUUACAAUUGAAUCUCAAAGGGCUGGUCCCCUAAAAUGCCCUCUUCCAACCAAAUAAUCUGAGCUCAGAGCUGUGAAUGCCCCGAACUGUCCUUCGAAGACAAGUCCCAAUGUGUAUUGUCCCCUACCUGCCAAGUGUGCCAAGUCGGUUUUCCUGAAGUCCACGGGCCUGGGACCUCUAGCCGCCUGCUUUAUCACACUGAAAAUCUUCUAAACUAUGAAUAGUAACAGUAACGACUUAUAUUUGUACAGAAGGUUGCAAUUGACUGAGUACUUCUAUGUCAUCCCCGUUCUAGCCUCCGAAGACCCCACGUGAGAGGUAAAGUGCAAAGUGUCAUCCCCAUUAUUCAGACCAGGAACACGAGGGUCUGAAGAUGGAGAGAUUCAGGGAUUUGAUCAAAGGCACAUAGUUUCCAGGGUGCAGAUCCAGGACCUGAAUCUACAUUUCUUGAUUCCAAAUUCAGCUACAGCUACUGACUGUGCUUUUGGGGGAGAUCCUUUGACUUCCUGCAUCAGUGCAGCCUCUGGGAAUAAAUAAUUUUAUAUGAGGAGAAGAGUUUAGUUUUCCUAAACUUGGAAGCGAAAAUGCUUCAGUGGAUCAUCUUAGGCUACAGCUGUCCCAGAUGCCCUCCAUGGCUCCUCUCUGGUAUCACAGCAGAAAAUCCUUUGGGGGCUCCAUUGUGGUUAUGAAAAUGUUCACGCCUCUUUUCACAAGAGAAGGCAGUGUUGUGUAGUGGCUGAGAGCAUGGGUUCAAGUUCUGCCUCCUGUUCAGCUGUGUGGCCUUGGACAAGUUAACUAACCUCCCUGAACCUCAAUUUUGCAUGGCCAACUUCUGGGGAUGUGGUCAUGAUCAAAGGAGAUAGAGUGCUGGAGAGCAUAGCACAGUGUUCAUUUCAUAGUAGAUGCUCCUGAAACACGGACUGCACAUGGGUAUAUAAAGCAAGGGCUGAAGGCCAAACACUCGCACUGCCAAGACUCAUUCUUCCAGCACAUACCAGGUGCUUGCUCCUUGGCUCCUUGAGGCAACCCUACAAGGCCGGUGUUAUUAUUCCCAUUUUACACACACGGAAACUGAGGCUUACUUGCCAGCUACUGUCUUCCAUGUGUGUCAGAGCUAGGAUUUGAACUCAGCUCUGUCUGACUCUGAUUCCAAUGCUCCACUGUGCGGCAGAAGGUCACUAGUAUGUAGAGAUUGGAUAGCGUGCAUUACUGAUCAGGAGUGGUGGCAGGAACCUCCAAAAUGGGGUGUCCAAGGACUGGCCCUCCAGAGCUGUCUCUGUCACACUUGCUCUGCAACUGUGAGCCAGGCACAUCAUCUCUCUGGGCCUCACUAGCUUCAUCUGUGGACCAAGGAGGUUGGACGAUAGUCUUGGAGACUCUUUCCGGCUCUGACCUGCUGCGACGCUCCUCAGAUUUCAGAAGGACUCCGGUACCUGAUCCUGCAAUGGAGGGAGCGUAACAGUGGGCCCUGAAUCUCAAAUCCGUUUUGCCUUUUGAAGCCAUGUGUUUCUGCGUGAAUUCAGAAUCUGCCAGAGGAAAACUCCCUAAUUAUCCUACGGGGACUAGCCCAGCCAGUAAUUACGCCUAUUAUUUUAAAUUGUAUUUUAUAAGAUGCCUUUCAUCCAAGAUCUCAAAGGGCUUCUCAAACAUUCAUUAGAGGAACCCCACCCCCUCCUGUGUGGAUAUGAAAGGCAGAGACUGAUUUUAAUAUCAGCAAGAAGAGGUCGGGGCAGAGAGAAGGGGACUGAGAUCCCAGGAGUAAUUUCACCUCUGAGUUCAAAGGAGAAAAGAAAGAAAUACGCCAGGGAAAUGUUCGCCUUCAGAAGGAGUUCAGGGGCUAUUCAGUGAAGAGCAGACGGAUCAGGAAAUGUUCCUCCUUGUCAAAAGGAGCCUACGAGAGGCACUCUCCUUCAGUGGGGCUCAGUUCAAUUUGGCUUGCUUCAUUUCACUCUAGAAUUAUCCACCAGUUGUCUUUGGAGCUGAUCUCCAGCUCACAGGCCUGUGCGAAGUGAUGUGAAAGGUGUAAGUGGAUCAAGGGUUUCAGAGAGCACUCAUUAUAGACUUGGGAACAUUAGUGUAAGCGGGAGGGCACAGGAACCUCCCAGGAGGGCCCUGAUGGCUGCCUUAAACAAAUGGCUGAAGCCAAGGCUAAGAGGCCCCCCCAUGUAGCCAGUGGCUGCCCCAACACCUCCCUGGCGGUAGGCGGAGGGAAAUGAAUCUGGGUCAAUAUGCUAAGUCCAGGGACUUGAUUAACAAACGACCUAGAAGGACCAUUUUGAGUAGCUCAUCAUGAGGGCCGCUUUUCUCCUUCCCUCCUCCCUGUCCUGCGUGAUACUUGUCCCAAGUUCCUUUCCUCUCCAUUCCAAUGGAUGGAUAGAAGUGAUCACUAUGUAGCAUGAGAAGCUUCAGUCUCCCAGGGCUGGGCAAGGGGCCAGCAGUCUUUCCUGCUGGUCUGUGAGCUCGUGGAGGACAGACUCUGCCUGCCUGUUCACCGUGUUCCCCAGCACGUGUUCUGGCCAGAGUGGUGGAUGCUCAGAACAUAUUCAUUGACUAAAGGAGCAGAUCACCAGCUGCCACUCUAAUUCUGGCCUUGCAAGAUGGUCUGAUGCAGGCCGGAGAAGGAUCCUUUCCUUCCUCAGCUUGGAGACGACUAGAUUCAAAGGACAACCAGGGCCACACAGCUCCAGCGACUUCAGAAGCUAAAGACAGAAGUCAUGUUAAGCUGGGGGUGAGGGUCCCAAUGACGUGGUGACUGAGGACCCCAGGAUGAGAUGGUGGGGGAAGCAAGGCAUGUGGUCUGAAGUAGCGAAAGGGAGGACUGUCCUGGGUACUGGGAGCAUGGGGUCCUUCAGGAAGAAGGUUGGGACCUACGGGGUAAGGCUCCCAACCAUUCACUGAUGGGGGCUCCCAGGGCCCAUGACUGGUACUCAGGGCAAUACAGCCUGAAGGGAUGCGAGUGACAGGAGAGGAGGACGAGGCGCGGCCUUGCCCACAAGGAGCCGGGAGUUUUGUUGUGGAGAUUAGAUUUACACACAGAGCGAUUAGAGAACAACGCAAGCAGAUCUGUCACUGACUAGAUUGGGAGUUUCCUGUUUGGAGAGAGAGGGUCUUACUCAUUGCAGUGUUUCUUGUCGGGCCUGACAGAGGUCCAGGCACUUUCUCUGCUCCAGAUACACUUGAUGAUCAGCUGUCGCAUUGGAUGGUGUGAAAAGUCAAUGGUCCAGAUUAGAAAAGGGAGGAAUCUGGAGGCCGAGAUGUGGGAGAAGGCUUCAAGAGAGAGGAGGAGCUGUGGUGGCUGCUAAUAAACGCCCAGGGAAAAGUGUUCCCCACUACCUUGUCAAGGCUUUCAUGGCAUGAGAAACUGUGAG